GUCACUGACGCAGAAUUACGACGGAAACUUCAUCGAGUACAGCGGUAACUUCGUCCGGUCGAGAUGUUUAUUGAUAUAUUUUUUUAAAUAAAGUAGUUUAGUUUUCUCAGUGACGUCUCAACGGGAAGGCCUUACUGUUGCUGGAAUGAAGAAGUGGCCCUUGCUGUGAUGCCUCCAGCCAUGUCUCAGAUUAAUGAUCCGAAGAUUGCCUUCGCUUAUCUGCGCCCAGCCUGCGUCCUGCUCACCAAGGAGCCCACUGUGACCAACGUGGAGUCACUGAGCGAGCAGUUGAAAGACAUCCACGAUGCCUCGCUGCAGCAGCUCCAAGAGUAUGUUCUCUUCCCCUUGCGCUUUGUCCUCAGAAUCCCGGGGCAGAAGAAGGAAAAGCUGGUGCAGUCUGUGGCUGAGGCAGUGACCUAUGUUCUGGAGAGGACUUGUGUCCGGAGCUGGGACACGCUGCGUGACGUCUUCUCUGAGCUCUGCGUCUGCCUCUGCUCCCCCACAAACCCAGGCCAACCUGCAGGUACAUCAGAGGAGCUGAAAUCCGCCGUGCUGCGGUGCCUGGAUGCUCUGCUCCACGCCGCUUAUGGCGACAUACUGUUCAGACUGUACGAACCCUCGAUGCUGCCUGGACUGGGUGCUGCUGUGUCGCUGCUAUUGGCUUUAGGAGAGAAGGACAAAUCCAGAGAGAUUCAGACGGCGGCCUUGAAGUGCCUCCAGUCUUUGAUUCUGCAUUGCGACUGCAACCAGCAGCAUGUUGCUCCAUCAUGGGAUGAGCGAUGUUCUGUAGGCAGGACCAUGGCUUCUUUCUUACCUGGGAUCACUUCGGCUGCAGCGAGGAUCAUCACUGGAGAUCUGAGGCAAGGCCAUGCGGUUACUGUCAGGGCCAUCCAGGUGUGGUCCGGUUGUGUGGUUCUGGUCAUGGAGGACGCCCAGCUGCAGCACAGUGAGUCCUGCAGCACCAUGUCCUCGGAGCUGGGGAGGAUCGGCCAGCUGGUGGUGCAGCGGACGGCGGACUGGGUGAAGGUGACGGCAGGGAAGCUGUGUGUGCUGCUGAGAAGGAUCAUCUCCUGCUGCUCCACCCACCAGCACUGGAGGGUGAGGCUGGAGACGGUGGAGCUGGGCGACCGUCUGCUGGCAGCGUGCGGUCAGUCGCUGAAAGAGUGCCUGGGUCCACUGCUGGAAGCUCUGGUGGGAGUGAUCAACGACAAAGACCCCAGAGUCAGACAGAGGUGUGAGGUUGCUCUGAGAGACGCAUCCCAGAGGAGUCAAAGCGCCACUAGCAGUAAGAACCUGACUGACGUCCUGUCUGAGAACCUCCACUCGUUAGCCACCUCCCUCCCCCGGCUGAUGAGGACUGCUGAUGACCAGAAGAAGCUGUUUGUCCUCAAUGUGUUCCUUGGUUACCUGAAAGUCCUGGGACCACUUCUCUCUGUGGUGCUAAACUCUGCUGCACAUCUGGACAGGAUCUCUAAAGCGUUAAUGCAGGUGCUGGAGCUGGAUGUGAUGGAUGUUGGUAUUGUGGAGGAGCGGAGCUCCACUGAUCCCAUAGAGAGCAGCUCCGGCUCACACCACUCCUACAGCGCUCACACUCAGAGGAAGCACUUCCUGUUCUUCACCGACGACAAGAUCUACUGUGUGCUCAUGGAAAUCUGCCAAACAUUAGGUUACUACGGCAACAUCUACCUUCUCACCGACCACCUGUUGGACUUGUAUCGUCAGUCCUGUGCAUACAGGAAGCAGGCCGCCAUGGUCCUAAACGAGCUGGUGGGCGGUGCCGCCGGCGUCUCGGUGGCAGCGCCAGCCAGAUGUUUGGACGGUGGGGACUGCCCGGCUCCCUCUGCCUCCAAGGAAGACCUGAAAGCAGCGGUGGUGUCUAUCAUGGAGGAAUACAUCAGCCUGAGCAACUGGCACCUGAAGACUGUGAGCGAGGAGUCGGACCCAGACCGUCAGGAUCAGCAGCUGCUGAGUCCUUUCAGUCUCCAGUCCAUCUCCUGCAGUGACAUCAUCAGGAACACUUCAAAUCCUCUCCAUCAAGCAGUUCCUUCUUCAUCCGCCUGCCCUUUGACCUCACCGCCUACAUCCACCAUCCACCAGCUGAAGGGCAACAUCUGGCAGCUGUGCGUCCAGCUGGAGGGCGUGGCCCGCUUCGCCCAGGCGCUGCGGCGUGACUUCCGCCCGCUGUUGAUGACGGCGCUCUACCCGCUUCUGGAGAAGGCCAGCGACGAGUCGCUGCUGGUUAGCCAGGCGGCGCUGGGUGCCAUGACAACGGUGGGCGCGGCCUGUGGUUACGCCUCCCUGAAGGAGAUGAUCAGAGACAACUCGGACUACCUGCUCAACGACGUCUCAGUGAACCUGCAGAGGCUUGGUCAACACCCACAGGCUCCGCGGGUGUUAACGGUGAUGCUGGCUCACUCUGACUGCAGCCUGUUGCCUCUGGUCGGUGACAUCAUACAGGAUGUGCUGAUGGCUCUGGAUCUCAGCUAUGACCAGUCAGCUGCUCUGUUUGGCUCUGUGCUGCACGCGCUCAUGAAGGCACUGGCCAGCUGGUUCCCUCCGUCAUGCUGUAGGACCAGUAAGCCUCCCAGUUCUAGGAUUUCUGCUGAACUGGAAGAUUUUGACAUCUGCCAGUUCCUGCUGGAUUACCAAAAGCAGAAGGAGUUGGCAGAGGGCAUUGGGAUUGAAGCAGAUGAGAUGGAGGACCUUGAGGUGCUGCCUCCUGCAGAGUGUAAGGAAGCUGAUGAUGGACCCGAUGUGAAGGCACAACUCCCACCACACCUCAGUAUCGCUAAAGAUGUCAUGGAGCGCUGCAUCCACCUGCUGUCUGACCCCAGCCUCAGACUCCGGCUCAAGGUGACAGGCUAGCUGUAGAAGAAAAGUCCAAUCCUCCAGAGCAUAUAUCAGUUUCCUUCGACUUAACAUUUAAUUAGGAAAAAGUAGGUCUCAAAUGAAGGUAGAGAUCACUCUCUGUACUAUGGUGAGUAGACCAACAGGACAUGUCCAGAUGGCGGUAUUAAUCCAUGUGAUCAGUAUUACAGCUAAAUCUAGGGCUGGACGAUAUGGCUGACAAAUGUAUCACAAUGGAAACUUUUCAUAUUGGUCAAUAUAGAUAAUUAUUUACUAGUUUUAAAUAUCUGAAGUACUGGUGACGUGACCUUUCCUGUUUUAUCCACAGUUUAUACAGUUUUUUAUUUUUAAGCAGUUAUGAGGCUGAGUGGCGAAACAUGAAACUACUCAGCAGGAUGUUGCUAGGCAACCAAAGUAUAAGUGAGUUAGCUGAUGCUACCAACCUAGUGUAUCUAGCUGUGAGAGGCCUUUUCUCUGCCUACAUCCCCCAGAAUGCCAUGCGGUUCUGGAUCUGAGGUCAGUGAAAUUAUUGAACACUCCUCAUUUUGAAAAUGUUUUUUAAGAGUUCUAAAUUUAUGUAUCUAAAAUGAAUACCUUAAAAUUUCUUAAAUUUACAAAAAGCAUAAGUUGGCCUUAAAUAUGUUAAUUUUGUCACUAGCAGCCCUAUUCAAUUUUUGUAUAUGUAGUUUGCUCACUUUUCUGUCAGGCAACGGUUUGAUUACUUACAUCAUCAAUGAUGCAGCAGAGACUGUUGGUAAAGUAGCUGCUAGCUUGCUAGCUUUUUUGCGUCCGUCAUUGUUAAGUGAAGAGUUAUCACCAGUUGGAUGGACGAUGUUCAUUUUCGCCACUGUCUCACUUCUGUUGCAAACCCAUACGAGGCUAGGCGCAUUCUGCUACAUAAGCAAUGUUUGGUGAGGCAGAAGAGAGCCACAUGCAGGAUGAGAAGCACAAAAACUGCUCCCAAGAGCCACCAACAUACCCCAGACAUUUCACAGUUUUUGCAAUGCUUGAUUGUAAUACAGCAGAAUCCUUCCAAUCAUUCUUUAUAUUUGUAGUUUUCCAGUCUUAAAUUUUAUCAAAUUUAUUUUAUUACAUUUUUAAAAGGUCUUAGUCUUAAAUUUGACUUCCUGAAAUCUGCAGAUACGUGUUAUUGCCCAACUCUAGCUGAAACUCAGCAGACUUUGAUGAACACUCUCCUACCUUAUAGGACGAAAUCAAAAUAAGAUGUCAGAUAAGGUCAAAAUACCACUUCUUGGUCUCUUAAAUCUAGUAUUCAGGGAUAAACCAUACCUGUGCGUGGUCAUAAUAUUUCUGACUGUUGUUUACUCUGUCCUCCUUCAAAAGGUUCUGGAUGUGCUGGAGCUGUGUGUGUACGUGCUGAGUGAGAGGGAAGACGAGUUGCUGCCCAUGGCUCAUCGCUGCUGGCCGGCUCUGCUUC